AUCCUUCUGUGAUUCAUAAACACAGUGACUGGGUUUUCACUCUCAUGCUCUCAAACCUUGUUACUAAUUGGUACAUUAAUUGUUUGACA
ensembl:snoRNA